rnacentral:rRNA from 1 species
ACACUGACGUCGCGACGCAUAUCAAUAAGCGGAGGAAAAGAAACUAACAAGGAUUCCCUUAGUAACGGCGAGUGAAGCGGGAAGAGCUCAAAUUUGAAAUCUUCAAGGUUCUACCUUGACGAAUUGUAGUUUAAAGAAGUGUUUUCUGUUAGAUGAGUAGGCAAAAGUUCCUUGGAAUAGGACAUCAUAGAGGGUGAGAAUCCCGUAUUUGGUUAUUCAUUCUAGCUUUGUGAUACACUUUCAAAGAGUCGGAUUGUUUGGGAAUGCAGUCCAAAAUGGGUGGUAAAUUUCAUCUAAAGCUAAAUAUUGGCGAGAGACCGAUAGCGAACAAGUACCGUGAGGGAAAGAUGAAAAGAACUUUGAAAAGAGAGUUAAACAGUACGUGAAAUUGUCAAAAGGGAAGCGUUUGACACCAGUGUUGUUUUUCCGAAAAUCAAUUAUAAAUGUUUUGUUUCUGAGGAGUGAUGACUUCAUCGGCUUCCUUCUCUCUUCACGAAACUUUUGUAAUGCACUUUUCGGUUAACAAGUCAACAUCAAUUUCUUUUGUUGUAAAAGAGUAUUCGGAAGGUGGCUUUCUUUUCGGAGAAAGUGUUUAUAGCCCUAUACUUCUACAAUCGGAGAGAUUGAGGUCUGCAGCGUAGAUCCUUCGGGGUUAGAUACAUUUGUGCUAAGUUGUAGCUUUUCAUAGACAACUUGUUGACUAUGUUUAGUCAUGCGGCUUACUCGCUUAUGCUAUUUUACCUACGCUUAGGAUGUUGAGUCGUAGAGCACGCAG